CAGCAUGUAAUAUCGGCUUUGUACUUUAAAGAUUUAUGGAAAUAUUGCCAUGCGCUAUAUCCUUUUGUAAUUCGUAAAACAUUAAACUUAUGUUUUUGCAGCUUUUCCAUACACACAAACACACACUCGCAUCUGUUUUUCUGGAUUAUUCAUUUUUAACUGCUGUGUACUAUUCCACAGGAUGGACUAAACUAUAGUUUGUUUAUUCAUUCUGCUACUCAUGGAAGGUUGUUUUUUGCUUUUUAGCUCUUGCAAACAAUAUUUCAGUGAACGUGUUCCAGUCAUCCACUGCUGUAUAAUAAAGCGCCUCCAAAUUUAGUAACUUAAAACAGUAAUGUUUCUUUUGCUUGUGAAUCUGCAAUUUGGGCCGGGCUUCGUGGGGAGAGCUCAUCUCUGCUCUGCUUGGCGUCACGUGGGGUGGAGUCAUCUGAAGGCUGUGCGCUCACAUGGCCGAGGGUGACUCUGGCUGCUAGCCAGGUCCUUGACUAUGCUGCUGCCUGGAGUGCUGUGGCCUGGGCUUCCUCACAACAUGGCGUCUGGUUCUGUGCGCGAAAGAGCCAGGCCGUAACGGGACUGCUUUUAUGAUGUUGGCUCAGAAGUCGGGAAGCGUCCUGUUUGCUGCAUUCUGUUCGCUGGAAGCCGGUCACCAAGGCUGACUCCCAUUAAGGCUGAGGGGGAUCCGGCUCCAUCUUAACGGGACAAACGUCACAGCUUUUAGAGCUGCUUUAAAACCGACAGCCUUAGCUCUGCUUCCUGUACACACCUGGGAGAGGCUCUUGGACCCCUCUGGGUGGGCUGACAGGCCUUGGCGUGUUGCCGCUUUGGCCCACCCUGAUGUUGCCAGAUUGCUGUCCUGGGUGUUUGUUCUCCUGACGCCACCACAGCACUCGAGAGUUCCAUUACUUCACACCCUCUCCAGCCCUUGCUGUUAGGGAUUUUGAGUUUUGCCCCUCUGGUGGGUGUGAAACAGGAUCUCGUUGUUUUAAUUUGUCUGUCCACCAGUGAGGCCAAGCGCCACACUGCCUCCUGCGAUGGUGUUGUGUUCCCUUUCCCAGCUGGUUGCCCUAAAGAAGACAGAAACGUCAAAGGGCUAUUUUUUUGGCUUAUGAUGUCAAUUUUUCAAAAGAGAAGUGGUGAGUAUCCCACAGAGUUUAUUGAAAACUAUUAUAAAGACCUUGGAGUUAUUAUUGGUGUGACUCACUUAUGAAAAAAAUAUGAUCUCAGUAACUGCAGGCUGAAUUUGUAAUGUGAUAGAUUUUCAUUUAAUCUCUCACCUCUCUAUAAUUUGCCCAAUUUAAAAAUGCCCUGAAGCUUGCUUUCUCCUUGUCUGGGAGUCCUGUUCUUGCUGUGUGUUAUCACAAUAAUAGUAAUAAGAAAUGAUGCCGAUAUGAGUCUGUCUUCAAGCCUUGCUGCCUCCUUGGUCAUUUAAUUACUUCUGGUACCGAUUCCCCCACCCUGGUCUCCUGCUAGAACAGCGUGUACGUGAAGCUUCUGGGCAGAAGGCCAUCCAGGACUGGUAGCCAUCGGGGUUGGCAGGCCCCAGGUUGGGAGGCUCACCGUGACCCCCAGGCUGGGUUGGGGUCCUCCCUGGGCCGCCUGGCACCCCACUACUCAAACACACCUUGCUUAAUGACGCUGUGAGGUCCAGAGGGCAGUCUAUCGCCUUCAGAAAGCCUGGCACCUGGGAGCGUUCAGGAAAUGCUCACUGAACCAAAUAAUUCAAAACGCUCGAUUAUUGUAAUGAUCAGUCUGACCUACUGGCUUCUCUCCCAAACAUCUGGAAAAUAGCCACAUCUGAUCACGAGUUUUAAAAUGAAUCCCUAGGCCUUCCUUGAAAAGCGAACUUUGGGCUACUUUUAAAUUUAAUCAGGUUCCGUCUGAACACUCUCUCCGCGGCUUGCUGGAGAACAUUAUCUUCUCCGUCGCCCUCCUAAGGGGCGCUGGGCUUCUUAUCUGUGCUUAGAGCCGGAGCCUCUCUGCCGGAAAUGAGGCCUCGUCUGUGUGCUGAGAGCUGGCUCAGAUCCUCUGCAGACGCUCUGGAAGCAGCCUCUGCCUCCAAACCAGGGCCCCCGGUGAACCGUGCAUGCCACUGCCUGAAGCUUCUAGGUCGGGUGCCUGCAGUGUCCUCAUGCCAUCGCUGCUGCCUUGCUGUCCAGACCUUGCAGCGGGGGCACAGGUCACUGCAGGAAGCUCAGGGGAGCUUCUGUCCUGGCCAGGCUCCAUGCUGGUCCUGGGGAGCUGGUGAUGGGUGUUGCUUCACAGAACAGGGCAGCCAGCCAGGACUGCCAACGCUGGUCUCACGGGGCUUGCCCUGUACCAACCAGAGUGGGUGUAAAUGAAGAGUUCAUUAUCUGUAUUUUUCAGGGGAGGAAGGCUUUGUGGUGGUUCGUUCGCUCCUACGUGGAGCCGCUGGGUCCUAUGUGGGUUCUACCUGGGCAAGGCCUCCUAGGCUGGGGGCUGGGUGCCCGCAGCUCAGGCACUCCCAAGACCAUCCCACUUCCGGGGAGCCAAGUUGCAGAGCCUGUGGAGUUUUCACACCACAUUCCAGGGGCCAGCAAAAGUCUAACAAGGGCAGGGCAUUAGCUCCAUUUUUGUGACAAGUUUGUUCACGGCCUAACAGUUUGUAUCCCGUGUAAGCAAAUACAAUACCUGCUGUCUUAAUUAAACUCAGACCUCAUUUGCAUAAGGAGAGUGAGCAGGACAUAUCCUUUGCUGUUGGGGACCUACCCACUGACCCCAGGGCUUCCUUAUCUGAUGACCCAGGUGUGACCUGACUAUGCUUUGCCAAGGGGCCCCAACCUCCUGUGGGUCUUGAAGGCGAGGACCCUCGCCGUUGCUUGGCAUUUGGGCCGGAGCAUCCUGGGCCCAGGGGUCUGGGGCCUGCGUUCUGGGACAGCCCUUCCCAGCUUGGGUCUUGGUUUCCUAGUCUGUGAGAUUCGUGGGUUGGGCUGAUUUGGGGCUCCACCCAACAGCAGCUGAUGCUGUCAUCACCUAGAGGGCACCCGCGAUGGACCAGCCUCUGCCAGGUACCUUGCAGUCACGCAGGGCAAGAGUUUAAUCAUUCAUCGCCCUGGUAGGGAUACGUAGGUCCAACAAGGUGAUACCUUGCCCGGCACACCCGCCCCUCCUGCCUGCCCCUCACAGCGAAUGAUCCCACCUCCUGCUUGGUUGUUGGGUGAAGAUACAGAUGUUGCCGUGGGGUGCACAGCUAAUAAUUAGGGAGACCAGGAUUUGGACCCGCAUCUGUUAGAUUCCAAAACUUCGAGGUGUGAUGGGGAAUGAUAUCCAGGCCAAAGCCCGCCUUGUGUAUUUCGAAGGAAGCGUCCCUGGCAGCCUGACUCGCCUCUGUGUGAAACCCAUUAGGCAGUGCCGUCCCAUGCUGACGACGGUGGGAUCCGUCCCGUGUCGACGCACACUCGGCAGGCUGUUAUGAAGGCCUUGGCAAGUUUUUGUUUUAAAAGAGUUCUCGAAAAUGACAGGCGUCAUUUGGGGGGUCUUUGUUAAUCUAACAGUGUUUCCUGGCUGAAAUGUGUGGACUGUUUACCAAAGUUCUUGCACGUAAUGAGCUCAGGGCAGAAUUAAAACAAUUCUGGCUUGUUUCAGGCCCGUUGUGCAGCCGGAGAAGCCAUCUGGGGGAAGGAGCCCUCAACACGAGCCCAGGGCUAUCCGGGUGGUGCCAGGGUUAGACCUUGAGGCUGCCGAAGGCCCCGUGCUAACAUUUUCACCCCCAAGUGGAUUUGCAUCAGCACAAAGCAGUGCCCGGUUAUUCUCCGCACGGUGUCACUGCACAUAUGCAUUCCACGGCUUCGCAUGGCGUAGUUUAAAAAAUUAAUAGACGAGCCUUUAUUUCUCUCUCUGUGAGCCAAUGCUUAGAAUUAAUUUUUUCUGGCCCACUAACUCCUGUGGUUAAAAGUACAAAUUAAGCUUUCUGGGAGAAUCCAUCACAAAAUUAUUGAAAAGUCAGUGUGGAGAAGAUAAUGGGCCCUGUAUUGGGUUAUGUCUAUAGGGUUAUUGUUUUCUGCAAUUACACUUUUCUUUGUUUUUCUUCUUUUGUGCUUUGGGAAAUCAACCCGAGAAUGGUCUUCCAACUCGGAAGAGUUAUGGGCUAUUUUUCCCGAAUGGGAUUGCCCUUCCCGAGAACAGUGGGCAUCUAUUUGACAACAGGUUAUAAAUUUGUGCUCCAAGUUCUCUGAAGAAAGCAUGAAUCUUAGACAAUGGUGCUGUGGCGCGAUAUUUCAGGCGGGCGUGUAGAGGUGUCAGAAGUCAAUAAAGUCCUCAGGCUCCAGCGUGUACCCAGGCAGCAUCUGUCAAGCAUUCUGUGUGGACUUUGCGCGGGAUUAGAAGGUGGAUUACAGCGAGUUCUCCAGCGUUUCUUGCCCUGCAACUUCCCUGUGCCCCAAAGCCCAUCCUAGAGCGUGAUCCGCUCGAGCCCCAGCCCUCUGGGGGAGUGUGCCCGAGCCACGCCAUCUGUCGGCCACGCUCACAGCAUCUUUCCAGUUACUAGACCCUGCUGGGUGCCAGGCGUGGGGCCGGGCAGUAGAGCACACAGAACGCAGGUGUGCCCUGCCCCGGAGAGCAGCUCCCCUGCCAGGUGGGCCCUGUGCCUGUUUCCCGCUCGUUUCUCUAGUGGCAGCUACUGAAGUUGCAGGCAGAGGGGCUCAGAGGUCCUUGAUCACUCCGAGUCUUGCUUCAAACCAUCCAGAGGUGCCCCUCCAUCUCCAGAAGAGAGUCCCGAUUCCCCCGUGCGCCUCUGAGGCCUUCUGGGGCCUUCCUCUUCCCUUCUGCGGUUUCAUCCGAGUAAUUCCAGCAGGACCUUUUCCCAGGGUCCACCCCCCCCCCACUGGGUUGGGUGCCCCUCCCAGCGUGUCCCCACUGCCCCUAAUCUCUCCCCUCACCACACUUGUCUGUCACCUCUUGGAAUGUGUCCCUUUGGUUGACAUGGGGGCAGGGCUGCUGGGUCUUUCUCAUGGCUGUGUCCCCAGCAUGAUCAUGGUGCUCUGUCAGUGUUUGUGGAGUGACACACGGUGCCCUGCGGGAUGGGGCCGGCUCCGUGGGCUGAGCGUGACGGCCCAGCAGCUGCCAGCAUGUUAGCGGAGGUCUCAGGGAAGGAGCUGGAGGUGGCGUGUAGGUGAAGGAUGUGUGCUGGGGUCCCAGUCAUCACUUUCUUUAUUAAACUGGGCCUAUCACUUGACAUCCUUCGCCACUGAGGGAAAAAUAGCCUGUUUCAAAGUACAAGUUCAGGGGUGUCUGGGCUGCUGCCGCUGGGAGAAAAAUGACUCCUGGCGAGAGUGCUGGGGUGGGCGGGGCUGCCGUUAGGCUGCAUUGACGGGCUUCCUUCCUGCUGCCCGCUCCGCUGUACCCACAAGGACACUGGGGCCAGAGGGCAGGGGGAGGAGCUGGGGCCCUGGCUGCCUGACUCCUGGUGCAGGGCUCCUUCCUGCUGUUUUUCCAGGCAGCGGAAGGGCCGAGCAGGCAAGAAGGCAGGCCUGUGCGCUGGAGUGGGCAUCUUUGCCCCAACGGCCAGAGAAUCAGGACGCUGCAAUUACCCCGUGUAUGAGAUUUAUGAAAACAUUAAUGCCUAACGAGAAGAAAACAUCUCGGUGGAUUCUUAACCACUGCACCACCAGGGAAGUCCCUAUGUUUUCAUAAAAAGGGGAUAUAUGAAGACAGACAGGCAUAGAAGGAGAACACCAUGUGAGCGUGAAGACAGCCAUCUACAAGUCAAGAAGAGAGGUCUGGAACAGAUCCUUCCCUCACAGCCCUCAGAAGGAACCAAUCCUGCCUUGAUUUCUGACUUUUGACUUCCAGAACCACGAGACAAUACAUAUCUAUUGUUUAAACCAGCCAGUUUGUGGUAUUUUAUUAUGGCAGCCCUAGAAAAUUAAUACACAAUUCUUUUCAAACUCCUCCAGAAAAUCAAAGAGGAGGAAGCACUUCCCAACUUGUUCUGUGAGGCCACCAUUACUGUGGUACCAAACCAAGAGAAGAAAUAAGAUUUAGCAAAUCAAUCCAACAUUUAUUUAUUUAUUUAUUUAUUUAUUUAUUUAUUUAUGUCAUGACUAAGUAGGAUCUGUCCCAGGAAUUCAAGUUUAGCUUAAUAUUUGAAAAUCAAUUAAUAUAAUACAACCUAUUGAUGAACUAUAAAAGAAGAACCAUAUGAUGAUCAUCUCAAGAGAUAUAGAAAGAGCUUUUGACAAUAUCCAGCUUUCAUUCCUGAUAAAAAGUUUCAGCAAACUGGAAAUAGAAGAUAAUUUUCUCAAACUGUUAAGGAGCAUUUAUGAAAACAUAACCUCUAGCAUCUUACUUAACUGUGUAAAAGACUGACUGCUUUCCCCAUGAGGUCAGGAACAAGGCAGGGGUGUUCACUCACACCGUGUCUAUUCAGCAUUGUUCUGGGGAUUAUAGCCUGUGCAAUAAGGCAAGAAAAAGAAAUAAAAGGUAUCUGGAUUGGAAAGGAGGAAGUGAACUUCUUUUUGUUCACAUAUGUGAUUGUCUAUGUAGAAAACUCUUCUGAAUCUACAAAAAAAAAACCCUUUAGAACUAAUAGUUUAGCAAGUUUGCCGAAUUCAAGGUCAAUAUAGAAAAUUAAUUGUAUUUCUACAUUAGAAAAGAACCUGAAAUUUAAAAAUUUUAAAUACUAUUUACAAUGUCAUCACAACAUGAAAAAAAUAGGGAUACAUUUGACAAAAGUUGUGCAAGAUUUUCUAUCAAAAAACUAUAAACCAUUGCUUAGAGAAAUUAAAGACCUAAAUAUUGAUAAAAAGAGAGAUAUAUCCUGUUCAUGCAUCAGAAGACUCAAUAUUGUUAGGACAUCUCCCCAAAUUGGUCUGUGGAUUCAACGCAAUUCCAGCCCUUGAAUACACACACGCCCUGAAGGAUUCCCAAAACUUUUGCAGGUAAAUGGCCUGAUGAAGGCUUGGGCACUGGCUGCACAGGCUUGUGCUAAGCUGUGCAAGCCUGACAGCGGUCUCUAGAAUGAUAUCCUGGGACAGCAGAGACUGUCGAGGAUAAACAGGAGUCCAUGAGCUGGGACUGAACUAGGCGGGUCCGUGGGGCAGGAGCUGGCAGGACAGGGCCAAACGGGAGGCAAAGAUUCACCCAGAAGUCUGACAGCUAUUAUCUCCAGGUAGUGGGAUGAUAGCUGCCUCUUAUUUUCUUCUUUGUGUUUUUCUGUUUUUUUUUGUUUGUUUGUUUGUUUUGAAAAAUUUUUUGCAGAACACUUAUUUACAGUGUAAUCAGAGAAACAGCCAUCCUGUUGUUGGUUCCUGCGGGGUUUUACUUCUUGCACUUCUGUAUAAUCUGAGUAUUUUUUACAGAGAUUGUAUUUGUUUUAUAAUAUUGGGUUGGCCAAAAAGUGCCUUCGGUUUUUAAGGAAAAAUAAAAGACACAUUUUUCAUUUUCACCCAGAACUUUAUUGAGCAACAUAUUCACCCUUUUGUUCCACUACCUUCUGCCAUCUUUUAGGCAACUUCGUAAUUCCAUCUUCCCAAAACUUUUUAUCUUUUCGAGCAAAGAACUGUUCCAGGUGCCUUUUACAGUCUUCUAGGGAAUUGAAAUUUUUUCCCUUAAGAGAAUUUUGUAAAGACUGAAAUAAAUGGAAAUCCAAAGGUGCAAUAUCUGGUGAGUACGGCGGAUGAAUCAGAACUUCCCAGCCAAGCGGUAACAGUUUUUGCCUGGUCAUCAAAAAACAUGUGGUCUUGCGUUAUCCUGAUGGAAGAUUAUGCGUUUUCUGUUUACUAAUUCUGGAUGCUUUUCGUCAAGUGCUGCUUUCAGUUGGUCUAACUGGGAGCAGCACUUGUUGGAAUUAAUCGUUUGGUUUUCUGGAAGGAGCUCGUAAUAGAGGACCCCCUUCUAACCCCACCAUAUACACAACAUCGCCUUAUUUGGAUGAAGACUGGCCUUUGGUGUGGUUGGUGGUGGUUCAUUUCACUUGCCCCACGAUCUCUUCUGUUCCACAUCAUUGUACAGUAUCCACUUUUCAUCGCCCAUCACAAUUUGUUUUAAAAACGGAACAUUUUCGUUAUGUUUAAGUAGAGGAUCACAUGUGGAAAUGCAGUCAAGAAGGUUUUUUUCACUUAACUUAUGUGGAACCCAGACAUUAAAGUGAUGAACAUAACCAAGCUGUUGCGAAUGAUUGUCAGCGCAUGAGUUGGAUACUUUGAGUAUGUCAGCUGUCUCCUGAGUGGUUCUCAAUUAAUGUCUCGAUUUGAUUGGUAUCAACUUCCACUGGUCUACCUGACCAUGGAGCAUCGUCCAGCGAGAAAUCUCCAGCGUGAAACUUUGCAAACCAUGUUUGACGUGUUCAAUCAGUCAGAGAAUCAUCUCCAUACACCGCACAAAUCUUUUUUAGUGUUUCAGUUGCAUUUUUACCUUUCUUAAAAUAAUAAAGCAUAGUACGCCGAAAAUGUUGCUUUCUUUUUUCCGUCUUCAGUAUUAAAAUGGCAACACAAAAAUUCACCAAUUUUGAUGUAU